rnacentral:rRNA from 1 species
ACUCCUACGGGAGGCAGCAGUGGGGAAUAUUGCACAAUGGGCGCAAGCCUGAUGCAGCCAUGCCGCGUGUAUGAAGAAGGCCUUCGGGUUGUAAAGUACUUUCAGCAGUGGAGGAGGUGAUAUGUUAAUAGCAUACUCAUUUGACGUUAGCUGCAGAAGAAGCACCGGCUAACUCCGUGCCAGCAGCCGCGGUAAUACGGAGGGUGCGAGCGUUAAUCGGAAUUACUGGGCGUAAAGCGCAUGCAGGUGGUUUGUUAAGUCAGAUGUGAAAGCCCGGGGCUCAACCUCGGAAUUGCAUUUGAAAACUGGCAAACUAGAGUACUGUAGAGGGGGGUGAGAAUUUCAGGUGUAGCGGUGAAAUGCGUAGAGAUCUGAAGGAUG